GGGUGGGGAGGGAGAGCUGGAGGGAGGGUGUGAUGAGGAGGGGCAGGGAGAAGGGCAGGCCAGGCAGAGCCUAUGAGCCAGCUGGGGUGAGUGAGGGAGAGCAGUCGCUAGAGGGGCUCCUCUGAGGGGCCUUGUGUCUGUCCUCUGGCCUCCUCUCUCCCCUGGCAGGGUCUCACCUGCCUGUGCCCGGCCCCUGCCCUGGUCAGCCCCUAGCCGUCCCGCGGCGCUGUCUGUCCUGGAUCUUCCUGUGUCCCUGUGUCCCGCAGCCCUGGGGGAGGGGCUUUCUGUGCCCCGGCCCCUCUUGGCCUCUCUUGGGGGUCCUGCCACCCAAAGGCACAGCCUGCUCUCCCUGCAAAUAAAGGCCGGCUGGCACUGGA